rnacentral:rRNA from 1 species
ACACGUAGGGGGCGAGCGUUGUCCGGAAUGAUUGGGCGUAAAGGGCGCGUAGGCGGCGCGGUAAGUCUGGAGUGAAAGUCCUGCUUUCAAGGUGGGAAUUGCUUUGGAUACUGCCGCGCUUGAGUGCAGGAGAGGUUAUCGGAAUUCCCGGUGUAGCGGUGAAAUGCGUAGAGAUCGGGAGGAACACCAGUGGCGAAGGCGGGUAACUGGACUGCAACUGACGCUGAGGCGCGAAAGUGUGGGGAGCAAACAGGAUUAGAUACCCUGGUAGUCCACACUGUAAACGAUGAAUGCUAGGUGUAAGAGGUAUCGACCCCUUUUGUGCCGGAGUCAACACAAUAAGCAUUCCGCCUGGGGAGUACGGCCGCAAGGUUGAAACUCAAAGGAAUUGACGGGG